rnacentral:lncRNA from 1 species
UUCCCAGGCCUAAUCUCUGUGAAGCCAGAAGCAUCAGAGCCCAGCACCAGAGCCAGAAGCAGCUGCCACGAGGCUUUCUGCAAUCAGUGAACUACAUACAUGUACAAAAUUGGCUGUAUCUGAGUGGGACUUUUCCAAUUUGAGUCCAGGGCCAUGAUUACGUGGCAAACCUGACCUGAUUUUCUCAUUGAAGAGCUCUUGACUCUAUUCCUCUGCUCUUUCCUUUGUUAUUCUCCUGGCGUGAAAAGCAAAUUCGUUACAAACAAAGCUUUCUAUGAUGGAAUAUUCUCUCUCUUUUCUGUGCCAUACUGUAAGUAUUAUUGAACACAUGUAUUAGACUACAUAGCCAAUAAUUUAAAACCACAAAUGUAUAUAUAUUUAAUCCUACUGAAAAAUUCACGACCUAUGGAGAACUGCCAUUGAGUUGUCACCAGCUUCUCUCAACUUCUCCUUCAUUUUACAACUUCAUCUCAUCAUCUGGGGUACUCCAAUGGGAAUGAUCCAUUCAGAGUCUGACUUCAAUUCAAAAUUGAUUUUCCUGUUCUAGGUCAGUUUUGUUAGUCAAGAAGUUAGGUGACCUAAUUAAUAUCUGUUACAUGAAAUGUUUAAGCAUGGCUCUACAGAAAACUGUAGGAUAUGUCACCAAAGCUUACACAAAUCCUGCAUACUUAAACUAUCAAAGAAAUCUAUCUAUUUACACCCACAGUGCUCCCUGCAGGUCCACUGCCAUAAAUAUAUAGAGAUUAAGUUCCUUAUACUCACAGCACCCAAAAGGCUGGGCAAUUUGGUACUCUGAAGAAUGAAUAAUAGUGACUUUGCAGUUUCCUUCCUUAUAUUCUCUGCACAACUUUUGCCUUAUUCUACUAGGACAAUCAAAGUUUUUAUCUACAUCCAGAUUCUUUAUCUCCAGUAUAUACACUGAAAGCACUCAAACACUUCCAAUAAUAAAUCCAGAAAACGAAAUAGAAAAUAUUAGCAUUCUAUUGAUUAGAAGACCUGCUGGACCACUUCUGCUUUUCAGUGUAUUUCAAAUUACUUCUGGUAGCAGUUCACAAAAAUGAAUGCAUGCAGGAGACUAAACCUAGAGACUAAACUACCUGGAUUGUGAUCUCCAGGCAGCACAAUACUACUGUUCAGUGCAUUGUUCCCUUGUUUAGGCUGGAAAAUGAGAGUCUUUGAUGCUUUGCAUUCCCUAUAAGAAAACAAGGGAAGAGAGCAAGGCAAGUUCAUGCUAGUUUUACCUGCAAGCUAACCUGAUGACUCAUUGUUAAUUUCAUACCCCUUCCUAAAACAUUGCAUAAAUCUAAUGCUCAUGGUCCAGUCUUUAUUACAUCAAGUUUUUAAACUUCUCUUUCCUGCCUCUGAAAGACCGAUGUCAUUUUACAUGAAUUGCAUUCAAAGCAGCAUUACUAACUGUCCCCUCCUCAUACUGAGAGAUUACUUGAGAAGAAAAUCUUCUAAAGGAACACACAUUGACACAGCGUAGCACCACAUCAUUAUUCAGGAACAACUCUUUUUUGCAUCUUGAACGAAGUUCAAUUCAUCUUUAAUCUUAAUCAAUCUUUCAAGGUUCACGUAUACACAUAGUUGGGAAGACAUCAUUGACAAUAUAACCUUGAUCUCAAUUAUGCAAUUAGAAUUGAUUAAGAGCUUAGUUUGGCAGGAAUAUGCAAUGGAAAGAGACAUUCACAUCACCAGAAGAGCCCUGCAUAAUUUAGCAACAAGAAGAAUUUCCACUCAUUUCUGAGUGAAGUGCCAAAGCCAGGGAAUGCUGGUUAGGGGAGUACAAGCAACUUCAAUCAAUAUAAUUCACCUGAGGCACAUGAAUUUUAAUGGAUGGUAAGUUACAUAAACAGCGCUUUUUCUAAAACAUCCAGCUCUCAAUAACUUCUUUAAAUCAGAG